UACGAAGGGGGCUAGCGUUGCUCGGAAUCGCUGGGCGUAAAGCGCACGUAGGCGGACUCUUAAGUCGGGGGUGAAAUCCUGGAGCUCAACUCCAGAACUGCCUUCGAUACUGGAGAGCUUGAGUUCGGGAGAGGUGAGUGGAACUGCGAGUGUAGAGGUGAAAUUCGUAGAUAUUCGCAAGAACACCAGUGGCGAAGGCGGCUCACUGGCCCGAUACUGACGCUGAGGUGCGAAAGCGUGGGGAGCAAACAGG
rnacentral:rRNA from 1 species